rnacentral:rRNA from 1 species
AUGAUCGAGCAUGGCACUUUCCCUUCGGUCAUGGAGGAGAGUGAUGAUGUGCCAUCUUCGGCCUUCAUCCACAGCGACGACAACGAGAUGGUUGAGCAUGGGAUUUUUCCUUCGACCACGGCGACCUAUGAUGACUUGAGUGAGUUUUGCCACCAUAUUGAGAGUGAGAGUGAGUUCACCACUAGCUCCAUAUAUGAUGAGUUGCCACAAUUCCCAUGUGAGGAGAGCCACACCCCCCACCACUUGUGUGAGAUGAGUGACUCCACCAUAUGUGACUUUGAGUGCACCUACUUUGAGGGAGUGAGUGAACCACCGCAUGGAGAGGGUGAGAUAGUUGAUAGGUCUCGUGAGGCCAUUUGCAUUUCUAACAACUUGACCUCUACCUCUCUUGUGUGUUCUCAUUUAGUGCUAGGUCCCAUUUAUGAUGACGUGCCGAUCCUCGACGACUUCGUCCUCCCUUUGGACAAGAUGAUGGCCAUGGUGGAAUAUGAUGCACCCCCACAUGGUUCCAUCAAGAUGAAGAUGACCACCAUUUGGUCUUUCCCACCUCACCUACACCACUUGAGUGCAAUGAACAAGGUGACAUAG